rnacentral:sRNA from 1 species
CAGCAAUGCAGAGUCCCUGGACAGGCUCCUGCCACCUGUGGGCACCAGGCGCUCUCCCCGGAAGCGGACCACCAGCCAGUGCAAGUCAGAGCCUCCCCUGCUGCGCACAAGCAAGCGUACCAUCUACACCGCGGGGCGGCCGCCCUGGUACAAUGAGCACGGCACGCAAUCCAAAGAGGCCUUCGCCAUCGGCUUGGGAGGCGGCAGUGCCUCUGGGAAGACCACUGUGGCCAGAAUGAUCAUCGAGGCCCUGGAUGUGCCCUGGGUGGUCUUGCUGUCCAUGGACUCCUUCUACAAGGUGCUGACUGAGCAGCAGCAGGAACAGGCCGCACACAACAACUUCAACUUCGACCACCCAGAUGCCUUUGACUUCGACCUCAUCAUUUCCACCCUCAAGAAGCUGAAGCAGGGGAAGAGUGUCAAGGUGCCCAUUUAUGACUUCACCACGCACAGCCGGAAGAAGGACUGGAAAACACUGUAUGGUGCAAACGUCAUCAUCUUUGAGGGCAUCAUGGCCUUUGCUGACAAGACACUGUUGGAGCUCCUGGACAUGAAGAUCUUUGUGGACACAGACUCCGACAUCCGCCUGGUACGGCGGCUGCGCCGGGACAUCAGUGAGCGCGGCCGGGACAUCGAGGGUGUCAUCAAGCAGUACAACAAGUUUGUCAAGCCCUCCUUCGACCAGUACAUCCAGCCCACCAUGCGCCUGGCAGACAUCGUGGUCCCCAGAGGGAGCGGCAACACGGUGGCCAUCGACCUGAUCGUGCAGCACGUGCACAGCCAGCUGGAGGAGCGUGAACUCAGCGUCAGCAGAGGAAGCUACGUUGGGAUAUGGCUGCGCUGGCCUCGGCACACCAGUGCCACCCGCUGCCCCGGACGCUGAGCGUCCUGAAGAGCACGCCGCAGGUACGGGGCAUGCACACCAUCAUCAGGUGAGGGCCCACCUGGGGACGGGGCGGCCCCGGGCGCGCGCUCCCGCUCAACUGUUGGCCCCACAGGGACAAGGAGACCAGUCGCGACGAGUUCAUCUUCUACUCCAAGAGACUCAUGCGGCUGCUCAUCGAGCACGCGCUCUCCUUCCUGCCCUUUCAGGACUGCGUCGUGCAGACCCCGCAGGGGCAGGACUAUGCGGGCAAGUGCUAUGCGGGGAAGCAGGUACCUGCCUGGGCACACCUGGGCGCGGGACAGGCUGCUGGGGCGGGAUGUGGGCGCUUAGCCUCCCCUCCCCGCAGAUCACCGGUGUGUCCAUUCUGCGCGCCGGUGAAACCAUGGAGCCCGCGCUGCGCGCUGUGUGCAAAGACGUGCGCAUCGGCACCAUCCUCAUCCAGACCAACCAGCUUACCGGGGAGCCCGAGCUCCACUACCUGAGGCUGCCCAAGGACAUCAGCGAUGACCACGUGAUCCUCAUGGACUGCACCGUGUCCACGGGCGCCGCGGCCAUGAUGGCAGUGCGCGUGCUCCUGGUGAGUGAGCCCUGGGUAGGCGGGGCAGGUUCAGGCAGAGGUGGGAUUUAACUGCCCAAUACACUCGGUAGGACCACGACGUGCCUGAGGACAAGAUCUUUCUGCUGUCGCUGCUAAUGGCAGAGAUGGGCGUGCACUCAGUGGCCUAUGCAUUUCCGCGAGUGAGAAUCAUCACCACGGCGGUGGACAAGCGGGUCAAUGACCUUUUCCGCAUCAUCCCAGGCAUUGGUGAGGCUGCCCAGGCCCUUCAGCCGCGCAUGAGGGCAGGGUGGGUGGCCCUG